GAUGAACGCUGGCGGCGUGCCUAAUACAUGCAAGUCGAGCGAAGCGGGGACGGGUGAGUAACACGUGGACAACCUCCUAUAAGACUGGGAUAACAUCGGGAAACCAGAGCUAAACCGGCUACUUUUAGAUGGAUCAGCGCUGCAUUAGCUAGUGGGUAAGGUAACGGCUUACCAAGGCAACGAUGCAUAGCCGAUCUGAGAGGGUGAUCGGCAACACUGGAACUGAGACACGGGCCAGAGUCCUACGGGAGGCAGCAGUAGGGAAGCUUCCGCAAUGGGCGAAAGCCUGACGGAGCAACGCCGCGUGAGUGAUGAAGGUCUUCGGAUCGUAAAACUCUGUUAUGAGGGAGGCGGUACCUAAUCAGAAAGCCGCGGCUAACUACGUGCCAGCAGCCGCGGUAAUAC
rnacentral:rRNA from 1 species